rnacentral:rRNA from 1 species
GGCUCAGACGAACGCUGGCGGCAUGCCUAACACAUGCAAGUCGAACGAGAAAGUUCCUUCGGGAGCGAUUAAAGUGGCGCACGGGUGAGUAACGCGUAGACAAUCUGCCCUUCAGUCUGGGACAACUUUUCGAAAGGAGAGCUAAUACCGGAUAACAAUGUUUAACCUAAGUUAAGUAUUUGAAAGCUUUAUGUGCUGAAGGAGGGGUCUGCGUCCCAUUAGCUAGUUGGUAAGGUAAAGGCUUACCAAGGCGACGAUGGGUAGCGGGUUUGAGAGGACGAUCCGCCACACUGGAACUGAGACACGGUCCAGACUCCUACGGGAGGCAGCAGUGGGGAAUAUUGCACAAUGGAGGCAACUCUGAUGCAGCAAUGUCGCGUGAGUGAAGAAGGCCCUUGGGUCGUAAAGCUCUUUUAUGGGGGAAGAUGAUGACGGUACCCCAAGAAUAAGCACCGGCUAACUAUGUGCCAGCAGCCGCGGUAAUACAUAGGGUGCGAGCGUUGUUCGGAAUUACUGGGCGUAAAGGGCGCGCAGGCGGGAUAGUAAGUCGGAGGUGAAAGCCCGGGGCUCAACCCCGGAGGGUCUUUCGAAACUGCUAAUCUAGAGAGGGUCAGGGGCCGGCAGAAUUCCUGGUGUAGAGGUGAAAUUCGUAGAUAUCAGGAGGAAUACCGGUGGCGAAGGCGGCCGGCUGGGGCCACUCUGACGCUGAGGCGCGAAAGCGUGGGGAGCAAACAGGAUUAGAUACCCUGGUAGUCCACGCCGUAAACGAUGAGCACUGGACGUCCGGAGGGUUCGACCCUUCUGGGUGUCUCAGCUAACGCAUUAAGUGCUCCGCCUGGGGAGUACGGUCGCAAGACUAAAACUCAAUGAAUGACGGU